rnacentral:lncRNA from 10 species
CUUAGGGAAAGAAGAGAGAAAGAAAGAGGGAGGGAGAGAGAGAAAGAAAGAAAGAAAGAAAGAAAGAAAGAAAAGAAGAAAGAAAGAAAGAAAAAGACAGGAAGAGGAAGAGAGAGACAGAAAGAAUAAAAAAACAGCAAUUCUGAGGAUGAGAAUAAAUUAAUGGUAGGUAUUACAUAUGCAUAUACAUAUAUAUAUCUGUACACAUAUAUAUGUAAAUAUGAUUUGGAAUACAUCAGGAUUGUGAACUUCCACUUGGGAUAGCAUAAAAGCAAAAUAUACCAUACAAUUUUUCAUUUUACUCACAAAUUUUACUCACAAAUUCUCCUAAAGACAUUUCACUAGGUCAGUACAUUUCCGAGAAAGUUUUAAAAACGUUUCUUCUUUUAUAGUCCCUAAUUAUCUUACCUGGAGUGUUAUCAAAAUGUCAUACAACUGGAAAAUGCAAUUAUUAUUAUAAAAAUAUCUCUGCCUUCUCUUGUGUAAUGAAAUUUAUGGCAUUAGGAGAUGACAUUUCAAGAGAUUUUAGAGGUCAAUGUAGAGACUCCCCCCAUUCUUCUUAAUUGAACAAACAUGCAUAAAUCUAGGGUUUCAGGUAGAGAGCAGAUGGGAAUCUACAGGAAACUGUCUUCCAUAGUGUAUGAAAACCGUGUUUGUUGUGUGGUGAAGCAAAAGGAAACUAUGAAGCGCACAGUCAAUAGAUUCAGCUAGUGAGUCCCAGCACUCCUUUCAGGCCCUCACUAGGAUUAGCAGCCCAGAGUCAUGCCAAGGCCACUGGUGCAGUACAAAGACAGUUCAGUGACAAGUUCCAUCCAUACCAUGGAAGAGGGUUAAACUUGUGGCUGUUUUUGCCACAGCAUGACCAGAGACAUUCUCAAUAAAUGGCACUAGGAAUGAUGAGUUUUAGAGGGGCCUAAAAUGUUCCAAACUUGAUACUCACCACUGUACCUUUAAAGCACAACCACAGAUAUUGGUAAAAAUGGAACAGAAUUACCUCAAUACCUCUUUAACUCAUUCUGUAUGAAUUCAUUUUGAUGACAGACAUUUUUUGUCACCAUUUGGAAUAAGAACUACAACAGCUUAUGAUUGAGGUGAGGAACUGCAGUCAAAUGGCUUAGGUUCAAACACGAGUUCUGACACAAAUCUAGGUAAUUUUGGGCAAUAUUUUAAAAUCUUAGUUUAUUCACCAAUUAAUAGGAGUAAAAAUUACCCCUACUUAAUAGAAUUAUUAUGAAGAUUUAUAUAAGUAAAUCAUAUAAAGUGCUUAGCACAGUGUGACUGGCCCACAUGGAACAUUUAAUACUUGGUCUGCAGUAUAUGAAGAAAAUGGUGUACAUGUUAACUUAAAUGGUUUCAUUAUUUCUCUUCAGGAUUUUUAAGAUGUGGGAUCAGAAUAUAUGUUACUAUUUUGAGAAUUAGAAAUAAUAAGAAAAACAGAAUGUAUACAUUAAAAGUCAUGCCUAAAUUUCCAAAGAGUAGUUUUUUUAAUGCCAGAGUUUAAAUAAAAUAUUAUUUUCCAGAGAGUAACUUUUCUAAAGGUCCUAAAUUCUGAAAAGAGAGAAAACUACUGUUAUAAACAAGUUUAUUACUAAAAGAUGCAAUUCAUUACUAUGAUUUAUUAUUAUUUUGUACAUGUAAACCUUGAUAAAUAAACAGCAUCUCAACCCAA